GGGUUGUGAGGUUAAGCGACUAAGCGUACACGGUGGAUGCCCUGGCAGUCAGAGGCGAUGAAGGACGUGCUAAUCUGCGAUAAGCGUCGGUAAGGUGAUAUGAACCGUUAUAACCGGCGAUUUCCGAAUGGGGAAACCCAGUGUGUUUCGACACACUAUCAUUAACUGAAUCCAUAGGUUAAUGAGGCGAACCGGGGGAACUGAAACAUCUAAGUACCCCGAGGAAAAGAAAUCAACCGAGAUUCCCCCAGUAGCGGCGAGCGAACGGGGAGCAGCCCAGAGCCUGAAUCAGUGUGUGUGUUAGUGGAAGCGUCUGGAAAGGCGCGCGAUACAGGGUGACAGCCCCGUACACAAAAAUGCACAUGCUGUGAGCUCGAUGAGUAGGGCGGGACACGUGGUAUCCUGUCUGAAUAUGGGGGGACCAUCCUCCAAGGCUAAAUACUCCUGACUGACCGAUAGUGAACCAGUACCGUGAGGGAAAGGCGAAAAGAACCCCGGCGAGGGGAGUGAAAAAGAACCUGAAACCGUGUACGUACAAGCAGUGGGAGCACGCUUAGGCGUGUGACUGCGUACCUUUUGUAUAAUGGGUCAGCGACUUAUAUUCUGUAGCAAGGUUAACCGAAUAGGGGAGCCGAAGGGAAACCGAGUCUUAACUGGGCGUUAAGUUGCAGGGUAUAGACCCGAAACCCGGUGAUCUAGCCAUGGGCAGGUUGAAGGUUGGGUAACACUAACUGGAGGACCGAACCGACUAAUGUUGAAAAAUUAGCGGAUGACUUGUGGCUGGGGGUGAAAGGCCAAUCAAACCGGGAGAUAGCUGGUUCUCCCCGAAAGCUAUUUAGGUAGCGCCUCGUGAAUUCAUCUCCGGGGGUAGAGCACUGUUUCGGCAAGGGGGUCAUCCCGACUUACCAACCCGAUGCAAACUGCGAAUACCGGAGAAUGUUAUCACGGGAGACACACGGCGGGUGCUAACGUCCGUCGUGAAGAGGGAAACAACCCAGACCGCCAGCUAAGGUCCCAAAGUCAUGGUUAAGUGGGAAACGAUGUGGGAAGGCCCAGACAGCCAGGAUGUUGGCUUAGAAGCAGCCAUCAUUUAAAGAAAGCGUAAUAGCUCACUGGUCGAGUCGGCCUGCGCGGAAGAUGUAACGGGGCUAAACCAUGCACCGAAGCUGCGGCAGCGACGCUGAUGCGUUGUUGGGUAGGGGAGCGUUCUGUAAGCCUGCGAAGGUGUGCUGUGAGGCAUGCUGGAGGUAUCAGAAGUGCGAAUGCUGACAUAAGUAACGAUAAAGCGGGUGAAAAGCCCGCUCGCCGGAAGACCAAGGGUUCCUGUCCAACGUUAAUCGGGGCAGGGUGAGUCGACCCCUAAGGCGAGGCCGAAAGGCGUAGUCGAUGGGAAACAGGUUAAUAUUCCUGUACUUGGUGUUACUGCGAAGGGGGGACGGAGAAGGCUAUGUUGGCCGGGCGACGGUUGUCCCGGUUUAAGCGUGUAGGCUGGUUUUCCAGGCAAAUCCGGAAAAUCAAGGCUGAGGCGUGAUGACGAGGCACUACGGUGCUGAAGCAACAAAUGCCCUGCUUCCAGGAAAAGCCUCUAAGCAUCAGGUAACAUCAAAUCGUACCCCAAACCGACACAGGUGGUCAGGUAGAGAAUACCAAGGCGCUUGAGAGAACUCGGGUGAAGGAACUAGGCAAAAUGGUGCCGUAACUUCGGGAGAAGGCACGCUGAUAUGUAGGUGAAGUCCCUUGCGGAUGGAGCUGAAAUCAGUCGAAGAUACCAGCUGGCUGCAACUGUUUAUUAAAAACACAGCACUGUGCAAACACGAAAGUGGACGUAUACGGUGUGACGCCUGCCCGGUGCCGGAAGGUUAAUUGAUGGGGU
rnacentral:rRNA from 1 species